CCGCCUAUAGCUCAGCUGGUAGAGCAUCCGACUCUUAAUCGGCAGGUCGUAGGUUCGAUCCCUACUGGGCGGA
rnacentral:tRNA from 1 species